rnacentral:rRNA from 1 species
GGUUUGAUUAUGGCUCAGGAUGAACGCUGGCGGCGUGGGGAACACAUGCAAGUCGAACGGUGAAAGCGGAGCUUGCUCUGCUGGAUCAGUGGCGAACGGGUGAGUAACACGUGAGCAAUCUGCCCCUGACUCUGGGAUAAGCGCUGGAAACGGCGUCUAAUACCGGAUACGAGCUGCGAAGGCAUCUUCGGCAGCUGGAAAGAAUUUCGGUCAGGGAUGAGCUCGCGGCCUAUCAGCUAGUUGGUGAGGUAACGGCUCACCAAGGCGUCGACGGGUAGCCGGCCUGAGAGGGUGACCGGCCACACUGGGACUGAGACACGGCCCAGACUCCUACGGGAGGCAGCAGUGGGGAAUAUUGCACAAUGGGCGAAAGCCUGAUGCAGCAACGCCGCGUGAGGGACGACGGCCUUCGGGUUGUAAACCUCUUUUAGCAGGGAAGAAGCGAAAGUGACGGUACCUGCAGAAAAAGCGCCGGCUAACUACGUGCCAGCAGCCGCGGUAAUACGUAGGGCGCAAGCGUUAUCCGGAAUUAUUGGGCGUAAAGAGCUCGUAGGCGGUUUGUCGCGUCUGCUGUGAAAACCCGAGGCUCAACCUCGGGCCUGCAGUGGGUACGGGCAGACUAGAGUGCGGUAGGGGAGAUUGGAAUUCCUGGUGUAGCGGUGGAAUGCGCAGAUAUCAGGAGGAACACCGAUGGCGAAGGCAGAUCUCUGGGCCGUAACUGACGCUGAGGAGCGAAAGGGUGGGGAGCAAACAGGCUUAGAUACCCUGGUAGUCCACCCCGUAAACGUUGGGAACUAGUUGUGGGGACCAUUCCACGGUUUCCGUGACGCAGCUAACGCAUUAAGUUCCCCGCCU